UAACUUUUGCCAAUUACGACAAGCGUUUGGAGAAGGUUGUGUUUGGUCAAUAUGGCAGUGUUACGGUGGGUUACUCCGUAGUCAGAUAUGCUCUUAACGCCACUGUCAAUGUUUUGUUGAUCAACCGGGAUAAUGAAUUGCCAGAGGAUGUGUCUGGAACAAUCAAAGCUUCACAGGUUAUAGGGGAAUAUGAGACAUCCCUCACAUUGUUUGAGAAAUCAUCGGGUGAAUACUUCCAAGUGAGUCCCAAUCAAUCUAUUCCCUUGACUCGUUCAGUUGUGGUAGCACCAGCGAGUUCCGGGUUAACAAUCACGGCAGAUUUGUGGAAUUAUGAUACGCUGUCACCUGAUAACCAAAUUGCGAAGGGAAGUGUGCACUUUGAUGCAGUGGUUGGAACCCAAAUCAAGAGCAUAUACAGUCAAUAUGGUGAAGUGCAGGUAUCCGUCACUUGCGAGUAAUUGAGGAAGCAACACUCUCCUUGCCCAACCUUGCUCGCUGGUUAUAAAAGGAAAGAGGAUAUUACAAGCUCUGUUCAGAAUUUACUGUGUUGUGAAUCUUCUUGCAAUAUGUUUAGGCUGCUCUGGGCACCAGUGUAAAGUUGUAACAUCCUAGAAUUCUGCUUUCUCUCCUAUAGAUCUUCUUCCUCCUAGUAUUGUUUCACUUGCUGUUUUCUGUGCAUCUUGUCUCAAUUGAAACUGAUGCUGUUGCUAACAUUUAGUUUGAUAUAAGCUUUUCUCAUCAGCCUUUGAUCUUUGAUACAAGACCAUCUUUUGCAAGAACGUUUAGUUAAUUUCUAUUUCCAACAUUUACUAUAUAUUGUCAUCAUUUUUACACUUUUUUUUUUUACCAGUAAUUAUGGAUAUUUUUAUAUUUGUCCAUGUUCGCAUCCAUUAUCCCUAAAAUGGUUGGUUGAUAUUGUUUGGUUGAUAUUGGUGCUUUAAUCCUUUGGUCAUAUUCAGUAAGUAGGUAGAGAGAUAUUUUUCCAUGAAAGCCAUUAAACCGACCAGGCAAGUAGAUCAGAAAUAAAUGGGCUGCAAGGGAAAAAUGACUGCAAAAUGACAAAAAUAUAAAUUACAUCAAUUAUUCAAAAUUUUCUAUUUUCAAGUGUUUUUGCUAGCUGGAGAAGAAUCAACUGUUGUUUCCUAAUUCCCUCUGCUAGGGGGCUUCUAAUUAUUGUAGUGCAAAGUUGAUUUCUACUUGGAGUUUUCUUUGAUCAAAAUAGAAGCUUAGCCUUGGCUCCGGAAAGUUCAUGUUUCCUUGGUAUAUAUGUGCAUAUUUUUCAUCUAUGGAUUAUUUUUGUCUUGGCUUUUGGCAUUUGAGUAUACAUCUGCAAACCUUACCUGCAAAAUUGGCACUAAAUUAUUUUGUAUGUCCAAAUUAAUUCUUGUGAUCUUCUACAGUUACACUCCACACUUGGCAUUUGUGUGAAGCAGAGAGAUUCGAAAGAAAAGAAGUCUUUGCCUUAAGAGUUUACUUUCUAUAUUCAACUACUGUUUUGGUUAUCAGAAGCAGAAUUAUCUACAGGCAUUCAAAAGAAGAUAAGUGAAAGUCUGUUGUUUUCUAAUUUCAUGGCCUUUUGAUCAUUGCAGUGUAUGCAAAGUUGAUUUCUGCAUCAGUUUCUUUGAACUAAAAAAAAAAAAACAUGCACACCGACUUUGUUAGUGUCUGUAAUAUAUUUUGCAUGGAUCAAAAUAGAAGCUGUCUUGGCUCCUCGAAGUUCAUACAUAUAUCCUUGAAAAACCUGUUCGUCAACCUCUGUCAUCAGUGAAUGGCUGCAGAAUUUGCAACCUCUGUUGCUUCUGCCACUCUGGGAAAUUGGGCAGUGUAACACAGAAACAGCUUAUGCGCGUUACUUCUUCUGUUUUGGCAAAAUCGUUGAAGAUAUCUGUAAUCAAAGCCAAAAACUUGAGUUAGCAAUUGAUAGGCUACAGAAUGAGGUGAAUGAGGAAGCUUGAAGGCAAACUGAGGUAAUUGAGCAUGAAGUAGAGGACUGGCUCACAAAGGCAAGAGAAGAACUGGAACAUGUGCAGAGAUUAUUAGAUGAAAUAGAAUGUAAGAAGUGUUUCAGUUGGUCUCCUGCUUUGGGCUGGAGAAUAAAUGACGUGAAGAUCAUUUUUUUUUUUUUGAAAGAUGGUAUUUUAUUGAUUCAGCCAUUCAGCCUGCCAUUUUUGAGUCUUAAGUCCCUCAUAGACUAAAGACUCUUGAUGACCAUUAUUGUGGAUAUUUUUAUAUGCAUCCAUUAUCGGAAAAAUGGUUGGUGGACA